rnacentral:lncRNA from 1 species
AUAUAUAUAUAUAUAUAUACACAUAUAUAUAGGCUUAGUGUCUUCUCAUUGAAUCCAGCUAGAUGCCAAUUAAGUGAAUAUAUAUAUUCAAAAUACACUACGUAUAUAUAUAUAUAUAUAUAUAUAUAUAUAUAUAUAUUAACUUAAAACACAAAGACUGCGUAUAACUGCGUUUCUUUUGGGGUUUUUUUUCGUUCUUUUUUUUCUUUUUGCAGUGCUUCAGGUGUUGGACACAUAGCAGGGGUUUGUUGAAAGUAGCAGACAUGUUUUGUAUAAAGAAGAAAAGAAAUGAAGCCCGGUUUGUCCUGAGGAUGUGGUCACUGUGGGCUAAAGAAGGUAGAGCGCAGAGGCGGAUGGGGGAGGCUGUGAGUCUCUGGCUGGAGGGCAGAGGAGUAUCUAGAAGUUUCCAUCGUUGGGUCAAAGUGUAUCAGCAACACCAGAAAGCCUCCCACCACAUACAAACACAGCUUUCACACAGCAUCAGAGCAGUGGAGAGAAGAGGAGAGCGUGGACUGACCCGCCGGUACUGGACCUGCUGGACAAACCAAACUGAAGCAUCACUGCUGUGUACACAGCAAGUGUUGCAGGUGUGGUGGCAGCGAGCCCACAGGACAGACUUUGAGUCCUAACCAGUUCUGUCUGUUUACAAGCAGAGUGUUAACAGAUGAGUGAAGAUCAUAUCAGACUGCAGAAACUCCACACACACCUCCAAAACAAUCAUCAUUUACCCCGAGUAUUCAACAACACAUUUACACACGUCCCUUCUGUCCAGUCUGGAAUGGCUAAUUCUCCUGCAUAGUGUUUAUUUACAUUAGGCUUUCCCCUGGAGAGAAAAACCAGUCCCAUAGAUUUACACCGAAGGAAGGAGCCCAUCCCAACAACUUGACAGCGGGCCUUUUCUUUUCAAUUUUGUUUCAACACUGUUUGCAGUAGAUGAACAGUGAGCAGGGCCAAAUCAGUAGAUGAACAGUGAGCAGGGCCAAAUAUGAACACUUGCAGCUGAGCUAAAUUGUGAUUGAUUUCAGGUGAGACUGGGCUCUUUAAAAGCAAUUUUUACAUACAAUAUGUAUAUAUAGCAUUGGUGUAGAAUAUUUUCCACGCCGCCAUUGUCCAUUUUAAUUAUUAUUAUUAUUUUUUUUUUAUUAUUAUUAUUAUUGAAGAAAUAUAAGUAUUUGCUAUACUUUUAGAUGAAUGAAAAUCAAAUGUUUCAGUUUGCUAAGUUUUUUUUUUUUUAAUUCUAUCAAGAUAUUUCAAUCCUUUUAAAUAUUUUAAAGCUGAGUAUAAUUAGACAAAAAUAAUUGGCUAACACUUUUUAGUGUCCUUUCAUGUUCUUACCAUAGUAAUAACAGUAAAUUAUGCAUAAUUACAAACAAUUAACCCUAAACCAAUCCCUAACCCCAUAGUAAGUACAUGUUAUUAAUUAAUAUUUAACUGUACUGACAAGGACACUGAAAACAACACUUUAUUUUUACACUUUGCUAUAGAUAUUUUUAUUUAGUUUGUUUUCCAUGAUAUUCACACACCUGGGAAUCAGUUUAAAAAUAACCCAUUUUUUUCCAGGCAAGAUUCAUGACACAUUAAUCAUACUUAUUAAUUGCAAGAUGCUCUUUUUAAGAGAGAGAGAAAAAAAAAACAACAACAACAACAAAAAAAACCUUUUUGAAUUCAGAGAGCUUAAAACCACCCAGAGAUGUAAUGGAUUCUUGCACAUAUACACAUAUAAAUGAACCAGUUUAAUAACCAUGUUUAUGUAAUGAUGAUUGCACAUGUCUGUUUAAGCAAAAACGAGGUCAAGUUCAUACCGUUGGCUUACUUCCAACAAAUGUGUUUCGCGUGACGGGGAGAUAAGACGACGCACGUGGAUUCGAAUGUGUGCAGCUGCUGAAGUAAUAUCUGCUGAUGGCAGCGCACCAAUCCUUCACCAUCAUCAACCGCAGCGCGUCCAACAGAGGCAUGGACUUUGAGAUGUGGGUGAACUCACAAUAUAAAUGUUAUGUGAAUCACAAGCAAACAAAUGAUCCAAUGAUAGUGUCAAACGUGGACAUGUUGGCACAGGGGGAGGUGCGUGUGUUUAUUGAGCUUUCUAUUGCCAGCAGAACAAAAAUGGUCAAACCACUCAAAAAAAUGAAUAAAAUCUAAAGUGUACAUCUAUGAUGGCACCACAUUACAACAGUAAUCACAAAUCACAACCGUUACAAACUAGUUACUCCAACAGUAUUCACACAUGACUGCAAAAAACAAAAACAAACAUAAGAUGGAAUCUCACCAAACUGGGUUUAGGAUGAUUUUGUUUUCAUUAUUUUCAUUAAAAACGAACACAUUCACUCCCAAUUCUCAUUACUGUAACUUGGAAAAGUUCUAUAAAACCUAAAUGAUAAAUUAUUUAUCUAUCCUGGUAGUUGUUUUUAACCACAGUAAUGAUCAUCAAGAGUAAAACAUCCAGAUGCAUUCAGGCAAUGAGAAUUUGGAGUGAACAUGUUAUCAGUUCUUUAUCUUUACAGUUCACGCAAAAAUGAAUCAUCAGCAUUUACUCACCUCACGUUGUUCCAAAUCCAUAAAACGUGUGCAUUUUUGUCCAUCUGUUUAAACUCAAUGCAUGCAAAACCAUAUUUUCAUUUUCACAUUGUGAAAAUCUCAAUGAGUCAAGCAUUUUAAUUCAUCUUAAUAUGCAUCUUUUAAUAUGAUGAGCAGAUUUGAUUUAGGCUUAAUAAAUAAACAUUGAUCAACGCACAUGCAUGGAGCACAUUGACCAUACUUGCUGGAAACGUGCAGGAACUAACCUCAUUGGUCUUGCAGAAGCGGAAAUGUAUUUGUGUGACCUGUUUAAACUCAAUGCAUGCAAAACCAUAU